UACAGAGGUCUCAAGCGUUGUUCGGAUUCAUUGGGCGUAAAGGGCGCGUAGGUGGCGUCGUAAGUGGGGUGUGAAAUCCCGGGGCUUAACUCCGGGACUGCAUUCCAUACUGCGGUGCUUGAGGACUGGAGAGGAGACUGGAAUUUACGGUGUAGCAGUGAAAUGCGUAGAGAUCGUAAGGAAGACCAGUGGCGAAGGCGGGUCUCUGGACAGUUCCUGACACUGAGGCACGAAGGCCAGGGGAGCAAACGGG
rnacentral:rRNA from 1 species